GGUGGCUCAAUGGUAGAGCGUUUGCCUAUCAUGCAUGAGGCCCUGGGUUCGAUUCCCCAGCACCA
rnacentral:tRNA from 1 species